GGAGUGCGUCAAAACGAUUGAACGGGCGAGAUAGGGAACCUUCAGGCUAUUACAUUCAGUAUCAUUCAGUAUCAUUCAGUAUUAUAUGAUCAGAAAUACAUCAACUCCAGAAAUAACAUUCUAAUUGGAAAUUGUGGAAAUUUUUGCUCUUUGCGAUAAUCUGCACAAUGCUGGCUUUGUGCAUGUGUAAACAAGCUGGUAAUUACCUAUUGACAGUAUUUUUAACUUACAUUUUACUUUCAUAUGCAGCUCUAUGACAACCUGCCACAUGGCUUGUCAUCAGUGGCUAUGGACUUGUGAUGACUCUUGAGGCAGAAAUAUUUUCCUGCUUCCUGCAAGCUAUUAGUGCUAAUCUGAACAAAGCUUGCUUCACACAAACAAACUUUCUUUAACCAGUGAAGAGUAUUUUUGGCUAACACUUGGCCUUUACAUGGAGCUGAAUGGCAAAUGUAAAUGUAAACAAAACCAUUUUUGAACAGAUAACUAAGCAGCAUGAAAAAAAAACUUGUCCCUUAAUCAAAUUGGUGGCUAUAGACUUCCUUCAGAUGACCCUUGAAGCAGAAAUGUUUUCCUGCUUCUUGGAUAAAGGAAUGUUGGGUGCUUUGAUGUCCAGUGCCAACUAAGAGUCAUUGGGAAGAUCAAGAAAAAUUUUAAGGUGUUUGACAAAACCAUAUUCAUGGCAGUUAAGUAAUUCAUUUGGUAUGCUUGUAUAUUGGCAGGAAAUAGAUAUAAUUCUAUAGGUUGGAGGAUGGUACAUUUGUAUCUCGUUGCUUCAAGAACAUAUUCUUUAAUGCCGUGUUGAUACAAGGCAUUAAAGAAUAACUUAACUAUAAUAACUAUAACUUUUACAACUUUUUACAUAUUAAGGUUUCACAAUAUAUUUAUAAUUAUAAAUACAGGAUGGAUGAUCUGCAUCUGCUGAUAGGAGGAGGUUGAACAUCAGGAAGAUUCUACUGAUGUAAAACAAAAAAGUAAGGCGGUAGUUUUUGUGUAUUGUGCCUUACAAAAAACAGGAAAGAAGUUCAAGCCUAUAUUCACCAGGAACAUUUCUACCAGACAUGCGAGUUGCCUACAAGUUUAAUAAUUGAUCUUGUGUAUGGUGCAAUCAUGGAUUGGGAUUGAAAACGCCGUUCCUAAAGCUCGUGUCGAUGAGAGAUGAAAAUAAUGAAGUCCCUUAGAUUUUCGAGGGGGAUUCCUAACCUAACCUACAUCGGCGGGAAAUGGGGGUCAUGCCCCUACUGUGAUCAGAGUUAUUUGGACAUCACUGUGCUUGAAAUCGAACCCUUGACUUUGGAUGCACUGUGUCGAUACUCAACCAUUGAGACGUGAGUUUGACACUAAAUGACUUGUAUUUCUCCUUGUCAUCUAGAGGCACGUGAAUAGUGAGUGAAUGUGUAUAUAUAUAUCUAUGUGUUGAUUGGCAAAUGAAUCUAGUGGAUUGGGUUUCAAUUCCUAGGAGAAUGAAACCAGAAAUAAUUAUAUAUUAAUAAUUUAUAAUCGGUAUCUGGACCGGAUCUGGACUGGAAUCUCGAAAAUUAGAAAAAAGAGUAUUAGCAAAAUGAAAAAUUCAUUGGAUUUUGUUAAUUUUUGAUUUAUUUUCCUUUUGUAUUGGCUUUUCUUACCAAAGAUUCAUUCCAUGCAAUCAGACAUGCCGUGAGCGCGCUCAACUCGUAUUCCUUUUGAGGUGGGAAUCAAGAUAAUCAAGUCGAAAUCAAAUUAAUUUUUCAAAUAACCAUAUAAUUUGUAAACUAAACGUAAAAAUUAAAAAAUGAAGUUUGGCACUAA
rnacentral:lncRNA from 1 species